rnacentral:lncRNA from 1 species
CAAAACUUCAUUUUCUUCCCAAUUCCACCUCCACUCCAAAACCAAAACCCAGAGAUGAAUACCGCUAAGUUCUUCUUGUAUGUAAGACUUAAAAGGAUAUACUAUAGACUGAAAAUGUUGUUAACACUAAUACAACAAUUCCCUCUCUUCACCAUCCCAAAAAGGGUUUUGGGUUCGAUGCUGGGCUUGAAAUCCGAGUUUGAUUCGCCAGAUGUUAAACUAACUAAUUUGUGGCAGUGCAGUCUCAGCAACCUCCUCUUUAACCACUCCUUCACUUUCCAAUGCUAUUCUUCCUACCCGCAACAAUUUUGUCUUCAUUAAAGGAGGGAAAACUCACAGACAUUCCCUUCGAUUUGACUCAAUUGGAGCCAUCCGCUUUACUCACCACUGUCUCUACUCUCUAUCAUUUCGUGUCUCGACCACUGCUUCCACCGAGGAGCUAUCUAGGUCUAUAGGUCACAUCUCUCUCGUCACUUACGCAUGUCAGAUGACGAGUGUGUUUUACUCGUGAGUUUAAGCUAAUUUUAACUUGAUAGUAAGCUAGAUUUCACAAGUAUGGAAUGUUUGUAAUGUGUUUAUUAAUGUUGUUUUAGAGGCUUAUCGAGAUGGUGAAGGAAAUGGCAUGGAUGGAAAAGAAGUAGUGGAUACAAGGGCAAAAUAGGUAAAGCAAAGGUGAGAUGAGUGGCACCAAAGAGCCAAAAAUAAGGAAGGAAACCGAAUGUGGGCACCGCAUCGCCACAUUGAGGGCACUGUGGCAUCCCGCAUCUACUAAACCUCUACACCGCGGCGUCAAGAGAAACUGAGGUACACUACCCAGUAAAUUGAUGCGGUGCUGCAGCCCCACUUCCUAGGCACCACGGCGCCACAAACAAAUACGUUAGGGUGCAAAUUUGGCCCUUUUUAAGUCCUUACGAAAACCCUAAUCUUCAUAGAUAGCAGGGGAGAUAUAAAUACAAAAACUCUCACACUUUAUGGAGGUUACACACAUUAAAAGGCAAGAAACACAUCUUGGGAGAGAAAAGGAGAAAUUAAAGGGAAAAAACAACGAGAAAUUCAUCGUGUAAAGCAUCAAUUGGCAGAAGAAAGAAUUCUUGGUGCAAGAUCUACUUUUUUUCUACAUCUUUAAUACAAAAUUCGAUGAUGUAUUCUAAGACAAUUUGUUGUUUCUCUUCUUUCAUUAUACGUAGCUAAAGCCAUUGUUAGGGCGAAUAAUGUAACUAUUUGAGAUCUUUUAUAUUUUCUUAUUAAGAUUCUU